rnacentral:rRNA from 1 species
GACGAACACUGGCGGCGUGCCUAAUACAUGCAAGUCGAGCGGACGAAUCGAAAGCUUGCUUUUGAUUCGUUAGCGGCGGACGGGUGAGUAACACGUGGGCAACCUGCCCUGUAGACGGGGAUAACACCGAGAAAUCGGUGCUAAUACCGGAUAACACGAAAUGUCGCAUGACGUUUCGUUGAAAGACGGCGCAAGCUGUCGCGACAGGAUGGGCCCGCGGCGCAUUAGCUAGUUGGUGAGGUAACGGCUCACCAAGGCGACGAUGCGUAGCCGACCUGAGAGGGUGAUCGGCCACACUGGGACUGAGACACGGCCCAGACUCCUACAGGAGGCAGCAGUAGGGAAUCUUCCGCAAUGGACGAAAGUCUGACGGAGCAACGCCGCGUGAGCGAAGAAGGCCUUCGGGUCGUAAAGCUCUGUUGUUAGGGAAGAACAAGUAACGCAGUAACUGGCGUUACCGUGACGGUACCUAACGAGAAAGCCACGGCUAACUACGUG